AUCCACGGCCAUACCACCCUGAACACGCCCAAUCUCAUCUGAUCUCGGAAGCUAAGCAGGAUCGGGCCUGGUUAGUACUUGGACGGAAGAGUAGGGCUGAAGGCA
rnacentral:rRNA from 1 species